UAACUUGGCUUGAUGUUGGAGAUCUGAAAUGAAUCCUAUUUGACAGUCAGGAAAUCAUUUGGCUGCAUCGUUUGUUUGUCUGCUGAGGAAAGCCAUGGAAAAAUUGAUAGAGGCUUUGGUUGUUGAUUCUUUCAGUGACUUUUUCUAAUCAACAGAAUGUUACAUGACCGUACCUCAGACUGUAAGUCCUUGAGACCGAUGUGGUCACAGACGAGUGACAGCUCCUCACGGUUAAGUGAUCCUCCAGCUCCGACCCCAAGCUCCUCCCAUACUGCUCUCACCUGUCCAUCUGUCACUUCCUGCUGAGGGUUGGAUGAGCGCUGAGGACUUCCUGUGCCAUCUAGAUUCCAGAGCUUCAACUGACCUUGGUUACAUCCCUUCUCUUCUCUGAUGACGUGUUUACUGACGCAAGGGUGGGGCAACCUGUCACUCACAUGACAUCACAGCAAACCACACCCAUCCAACCAUCCAAUCAAUUUCCGACGGACAAAAUAAAGUCUUGCCACAUUGUUUCAUGUUCGAAAAGCCGUUUCCCUUGGGAAGAAAAGACUAACGCAACUUCCUUUUCAUGCCGACUUUAACAACUUGUAUACAACUGCAUAGUAUAUACUGUAUACUGCCCACUAUUUUUUUAAAUAGCAUGUAAAUGCAUUUUUUAAAAUAAUUUUUCAAUUAAGGAGGUCUAUAAUGGUUUCAAAUGCCUCACUGCUUUUGUCAUGUGAUCCCAUAACAUUGUAUGUCUAUUUUAGUGUGUGACAAAAUGGCUAUUUUGCAUUUUAAUCAAUUUUCAUGUAAAAUGUUUGACCAAAUAAUGAGCAAUAAAAAGUUUUAACAA